rnacentral:rRNA from 1 species
AUUGAACGCUGGCGGCAUGCCUUACACAUGCAAGUCGAACGGCAGCGGGGGAGAAGCUUGCUUUUCCUGCCGGCGAGUGGCGAACGGGUGAGUAAUACAUCGGAACGUGCCCUGUAGUAGGGGAUAACUAGUCGAAAGAUUAGCUAAUACCGCAUACGACCUGAGGGUGAAAGUGGGGGACCGCAAGGCCUCAUGCUAUAGGAGCGGCCGAUGUCUGAUUAGCUAGUUGGUGGGGUAAAGGCCUACCAAGGCGACGAUCAGUAGCUGGUCUGAGAGGACGAUCAGCUACACUGGGACUGAGACACGGCCCAGACUCCGACGGGAGGCAGCAGUGGGGAAUUUUGGACAAUGGGCGAAAGCCUGAUCCAGCAAUGCCGCGUGUGUGAAGAAGGCCUUCGGGUUGUAAAGCACUUUUGUCCGGAAAGAAAUGGCUCUGGUUAAUACCUGGGGUCGAUGACGGUACCGGAAGAAUAAGGACCGGCUAACUACGUGCCAGCCGCCGCCGUAA